rnacentral:rRNA from 1 species
CCGCUUGCAGGGAAACAAAUGGACCCACGAAGUCCAGUUGAAUAUGAGAUUCAUAUCUUUUUACAUGGUUGUGUUGUUUGUUGACACUCUCAGAGUGGAAAGCUUUCAACACUAAUCAGUAAAAUGAUGCAUUUUUCAUAUUCACGAUGGAGCUCUGACUCCUCUCUAAGACUUGAAUGUUUAUAGCAGCUCUUACAUUUGGUAGAAUGUUAAUUCAUUCAACUCACUUGUUUGGGUGAACAAUUCAAGUCACAAAGAGGAGGUGAAUUACUUACAAUUGUAGGUUUUUUCAGGUUGUUCAUUGAGAUGGUGUAUAGUUCAUGAAUGUAUAUAAAACUUCGGCUCUUGUAGUUGAAACUUAUUUACACUUUAUGUACAUAUGUACAUCAUUGAUAUGUAUAAUAAUCCAGAGUAAGUAGGUCGGUCAUCCAUUUGACCCGUCUUGAAACACGGACCAAGGAGCCCAACAACUGCGCAAGUCGCUCGGUCUUGAAUAGGCCAGAGAGGCGAAAUAAACAUAAUGAUAUGAUCCUUGAUUGUCUUUAGGGGCAUAGAGGCGCAAUAUCAACCUGCUUUAAUUACUUUUUUGUAAUGAAGUGGCGUUUGAGCGUAAUUGUUGGUACCCGAAAGAUGGUGAACUAUACUUGGGCAAGACGAAGCCAGAGGAAACUCUGGUGGAGGUCUGUAGCGAUUCUGACGUGCAAAUCGAUCGUCAGACCUGAGUAUAGGGGCGAAAGACUAAUCGAACCAUCUAGUAGCUGGUUCCCUCCGAAGUUUCCCUCAGGAUAGCUGGUACUAUAUAUACUCUGUAGCAUCUGGUAAAGCGAAUGAUUAGAGGUAUUGGGAUCGAAACGAUCUCAACCUAUUCUCAAACUUUAAAUGGGUGCGAAGCAUGACAUUUUUUGCUUAAUGUCUUGCUUUCGUAAGAGGAGUACCAAGUGGGCCAUUUUUGGUAAGCAGAACUGGUGCUGUGGGAUGAACCAAACUUUGAGUUAAAGAACCAAAUGCUGACGCUCAUGAGAUCCCAAGAAAGGUGUUGGUUGCUAUAGACAGC